rnacentral:rRNA from 1 species
GGUGAACGCUGGCGGCGUGCCUAAUACAUGCAAGUCGAGCGAACGGACGAGAAGCUUGCUUUUCUGAUGUUAGCGGCGGACGGGUGAGUAACACGUGGAUAACCUACCUAUAAGACUGGGAUAACUUCGGGAAACCGGAGCUAAUACCGGAUAAUAUUUUGAACCGCAUGGUUCAAAAGUGAAAGACGGUCUUGCUGUCACUUAUAGAUGGAUCCGCGCUGCAUUAGCUAGUUGGUAAGGUAACGGCUUACCAAGGCAACGAUGCAUAGCCGACCUGAGAGGGUGAUCGGCCACACUGGAACUGAGACACGGUCCAGACUCCUACGGGAGGCAGCAGUAGGGAAUCUUCCGCAAUGGGCGAAAGCCUGACGGAGCAACGCCGCGUGAGUGAUGAAGGUCUUCGGAUCGUAAAACUCUGUUAUUAGGGAAGAACAUAUGUGUAAGUAACUGUGCACAUCUUGACGGUACCUAAUCAGAAAGCCACGGCUAACUACGUGCCAGCAGCCGCGGUAAUACGUAGGUGGCAAGCGUUAUCCGGAAUUAUUGGGCGUAAAGCGCGCGUAGGCGGUUUUUUAAGUCUGAUGUGAAAGCCCACGGCUCAACCGUGGAGGGUCAUUGGAAACUGGAAAACUUGAGUGCAGAAGAGGAAAGUGGAAUUCCAUGUGUAGCGGUGAAAUGCGCAGAGAUGUGGAGGAACACCAGUGGCGAAGGCGACUUUCUGGUCUGUAACUGACGCUGAUGUGCGAAAGCGUGGGGAUCAAACAGGAUUAGAUACCCUGGUAGUCCACGCCGUAAACGAUGAGUGCUAAGUGUUAGGGGGUUUCCGCCCCUUAGUGCUGCAGCUAACGCAUUAAGCACUCCGCCUGGGGAGUACGACCGCAAGGUUGAAACUCAAAGGAAUUGACGGGGGCCCGCACAAGCGGUGGAGCAUGUGGUUUAAUUCGAAGCAACGCGAAGAACCUUACCAAAUCUUGACAUCCUUUGACAACUCUAGAGAUAGAGCCUUCCCCUUCGGGGGACAAAGUGACAGGUGGUGCAUGGUUGUCGUCAGCUCGUGUCGUGAGAUGUUGGGUUAAGUCCCGCAACGAGCGCAACCCUUAAGCUUAGUUGCCAUCAUUAAGUUGGGCACUCUAAGUUGACUGCCGGUGACAAACCGGAGGAAGGUGGGGAUGACGUCAAAUCAUCAUGCCCCUUAUGAUUUGGGCUACACACGUGCUACAAUGGACAAUACAAAGGGCAGCGAAACCGCGAGGUCAAGCAAAUCCCAUAAAGUUGUUCUCAGUUCGGAUUGUAGUCUGCAACUCGACUACAUGAAGCUGGAAUCGCUAGUAAUCGUAGAUCAGCAUGCUACGGUGAAUACGUUCCCGGGUCU